rnacentral:rRNA from 1 species
UACGUAGGGUGCGAGCGUUGUCCGGAAUUAUUGGGCGUAAAGAGCUCGUAGGCGGUGUGUCACGUCGGCCGUGAAAACCUGCAGCUUAACUGUGGGCGUGCGGUCGAUACGGGCAUCACUGGAGUUCGGCAGGGGAGACUGGAAUUCCUGGUGUAGCGGUGAGAUGCGCAGAUAUCAGGAGGAACACCAAUAGCGAAGGCAGCUCGCUGGGACGGUACUGACGCUGAGGCGCGAAAGCGUGGGGAGCAAACAGG